rnacentral:rRNA from 1 species
GAUGAACGCUGGCGGCGUGCCUAAUACAUGCCAGUCGAGCGAACGGACGAGAAGCUUGCUUCUCUGAUGUUAGCGGCGGACGGGUGAGUAACACGUGGAUAACCUACCUAUAAGACUGGGAUAACUUCGGGAAACCGUAGCUAAUACCGGAUAAUAUUUUGAACCGCAUGGUUCAAAAGUGAAAGACGGUCUUGCUGUCACUUAUAGAUGGAUCCGCGCUGCAUUAGCUAGUUGGUAAGGUAACGGCUUACCAAGGCAACGAUGCAUAGCCGACCUGAGAGGGGGAUCGGCCACACUGGAAAGGAACCACGGUCCAAACUCCUAGGGGGGGCAGAAGUAGGGAAUCUUCCGAAAUGGGGGAAAGCCUGACGGAGCAACGCCGGGUGAGUGAAGAAGGUCUUCGGAUCGUAAAACUCUGUUAUUAGGGAAAAAAAUAUGUGUAAGUAACUGGGCACAUCUUGACGGUACCAAAGCAGAAAGCCACGGCUAACUACGU